AGUCUAUGAAUCCUAAAUUCAAACACAUUUUGAGAAAAGACAAUACAGUUGGAGAUAUAUUAUCAUGAGUACAAUAUAAUGAUGAAGAUGAUAUGAUUGAUGAUGAAGAAAAUAUUGACACCGACUUUUAUUCAACUUUAUAUGCAAGAAGGGAUGGAUUGUCUUUGGCUACACUAUUUAAAUUAUUCUCAGAAGAAUUGUAUGAUGGUAAAUGGUUGUAUAUAGAAAAAUACUUAAGUACAUUAAUGCAGCAAGAAGAUUGGAUGGACAAAGAAUUUAAGAAGAUUCAAAGGAAAGCAUAUGGAUAUUUUCUUCAAAAUGGGUUCUUAUAGAAGUAUCUAAAGAAGAGAGGUGGAAUACCACAAUGAAUUGUAAAUGGGAUUGAAAUGCAAUAAAAGAUCAUUAAGGAAUUUCAUGACUGUCGAUAGGCUGGGCAUUGGAAUAUUUGGACAACAUUUACUAAGAUGAAAAAAAUAUUGGUGGAAAGGCAUGCACAAAGAUAUAGAAAAUUUUGUAGAAUCUUAUAAAAUUUUUCAAGUAUAUUCAAACAUUCGGCAUCAAGAUAGAUUACACCCAACAUAUCUUUUAGGUCUAUACUAUAAAUAG
rnacentral:lncRNA from 1 species